UCGAACGGCAGCACGGGAGCUUGCUCCUGGUGGCGAGUGGCGAACGGGUGAGUAAUGUAUCGGAACGUACCCCGUCGUGGGGGAUAACUCUCCGAAAGGAGAGCUAAUACCGCAUACGACCCGAGGGUGAAAGCGGGGGACCUGGGGUAACCUGGGCCUCGCGCGAUGGGAGCGGCCGAUAUCGGAUUAGCUAGUUGGUGGGGUAAGGGCCUACCAAGGCGACGAUCCGUAGCGGGUCUGAGAGGACGACCCGCCACACUGGAACUGAGACACGGUCCAGACUCCUACGGGAGGCAGCAGUGGGGAAUUUUGGACAAUGGGCGCAAGCCUGAUCCAGCCAUUCCGCGUGAGUGAAGAAGGCCUUCGGGUUGUAAAGCUCUUUCAGCAGGAACGAAACGGUGGGUCUUAAUACGGCCUGCUAAUGACGGUACCUGCAGAAGAAGCACCGGCUAACUACGUGCCAGCAGCCGCGGUAAUACGUAGGGUGCGAGCGUUAAUCGGAAUUACUGGGCGUAAAGCGUGCGCAGGCGGCGACAUAAGACAGAUGUGAAAUCCCCGGGCUCAACCUGGGAACGGCGUUUGUGACUGUGUGGCUAGAGUGUAGCAGAGGGGGGUGGAAUUCCACGUGUAGCAGUGAAAUGCGUAGAGAUGUGGAGGAACACCGAUGGCGAAGGCAGCCCCCUGGGUUAACACUGACGCUCAUGCACGAAAGCGUGGGGAGCAAACAGGAUUAGAUACCCUGGUAGUCCACGCCCUAAACGAUGCCAACUAGGUGUUGGGGGGAGGAGACUUCCUUAGUACCGUAGCUAACGCGUGAAGUUGGCCGCCUGGGGAGUACGGUCGCAAGAUUAAAACUCAAAGGAAUUGACGGGGACCCGCACAAGCGGUGGAUGAUGUGGAUUAAUUCGAUGCAACGCGAAAACCUUACCUA
rnacentral:rRNA from 1 species